GGAGUCCUGUAUGACAAAGUUUAACCAACAGUCAUUAGCGAGUCUUAAGUUGUUUGGGGUGACCCAAAGGGCUAAGCGUAGACAGCAAACUGGUGGGGCGUAAGCCGAAUAAGGAGGGCU
rfam:Clostridium tepidiprofundi DSM 19306 CLTE_contig000003, whole genome shotgun sequence.